rnacentral:rRNA from 1 species
GAUGAACGCUGGCGGCGUGCUUAACACAUGCAAGUCGAACGGAAAGGCUCCUGCUUGCCGGGGUACUCGAGUGGCGAACGGGUGAGUAACACGUGGGUGAUCUGCCCUGCACUUCGGGAUAAGCCUGGGAAACUGGGUCUAAUACCGGAUAGGACGAUGGUUUGGAUGCCAUUGUGGACAGUUUUUCGGUGUGGGAUGAGCUCGCGGCCUAUCAGCUUGUUGGUGGGGUAAUGGCCUACCAAGGCGUCGACGGGUAGCCGGCCUGAGAGGGUGUACGGCCACAUUGGGACUGAGAUACGGCCCAGACUCAUACGGGAGGCAGCAGUGGGGAAUAUUGCACAAUGGGCGCAAGCCGGAUGGAGCGACGCCGCGUGGGGGAUGACGGCCUUCGGGUGGUAAACUCCUUUCGCUAGGGACGAAGCGCAAGUGACGGUACCUGGAGAAGAAGCACCGGCUAACUACGU